AAUGAGCGUGAGCAGAACACAGGAAUGCUGCAUCACAUCAACAGAUACUAAAAUGCCUAAAGUAAGGCAUGUAAAGCAGAGAGUUGCAGAUGGGAAAGAACACCCUGGGAAGCAGGCAGGGAAACUCUCCCAGUGUAAACCUUCUCACUGGAAACACCUGAGAUUCUUGUCUGAGGUAAGCAAAAAAAAAUUGUUUUACGACAGUAUUUAACAUAUUCUGAGUGUUCUGGUUUUAAGUUACAAGAAUUUUCUCUGACAACCUUCAAGAACUCCACCUUGAUGUAAAAUUGAUAUUUAAACUGCAAGCUCUUAGAUUGGUAUAAACAGGCACAAGAUUUACAUUCAAACUGCUAACACUUAAACAAAGGUGCCCUGAUUUGAGCUGGGGUACAGCUAACGGUGAUUCCUCCACUGCUGGAGUAGAAGGACAGUGUUGGGAAAUGCUCCUUCAAACCAGUACAUCCCAACACCUUUGCAGGCUGAACCCCAAGCUUAGCCUUUGCAGAUCUAUGCACAUGGGCUGUGUUCAACUCCUGUCAAUUUACACAGAGGACAUUCUCUGUGUACUGUGCUCACCUGAUGCCUUACAGAUGAGCACCUCAGUGGGAAAUCUGACUUUUAUAAAUUUGUCACACUCACUGGUUUUCUUAUUCUACAUGCACUGCUGUGUAUCUUGUUCGUAACAGUCUGGAGGAUGGAUGCACUUCCUCAACAUUUCUGCUGUUCUCAAGCACACUGCACUAAAAAAAGAGGGUGGAGGAACCAGAGACUGACACCAAAUCAAGAGGAGUCCUCUCCUCCUUGCUAUGUUGUCAUUUCUGCUUUGGACCACCAUCCGCUCAGGGCUAUCUACAGUGGGUUCUGAAAAGGUCUGUGGAUUUCUUCAUGAAAUGCAGCUGAUUUCACAGCUCUUGACACAUGAGAAGGGCUGCAGGGGACCCUCACCACCAAGACCAGAUGGAGGGGAGCAACGAGGCAUCACUGGGACCCUUGGAAGGGUGACACACUCCUACCUACCCCCUGUCACUCUCCCCCUGUCCCCCUACCCACCCCACACACUGCUUUCUCUUUCUUUUUCUUUCUCUGUGCCUCUUCUACUAUCAAAUAAAAUAUAUCAAUUUUUUGGUGCCAAGAUCUAACCUAGAUUGGUUCCAA